UACGGGGGGGGGCAAGCGUUGUUCGGAAUUAUUGGGCGUAAAGGGCUCGUAGGCGGUCUGUUGCGUCGGGAGUGAAAUCUUACAGCUUAACUGUGAACUUGCUUUCGAUACGGGCGGACUAGAGGUAUGCAGGGGGAGAACGGAAUUCCUGGUGUAGCGGUGGAAUGCGCAGAUAUCAGGAGGAACACCAGUGGCGAAGGCGGCUUACUGGACCGGUUCUGACGCUGAGGCGCGAAAGCGUGGGGAGCAAACAGGG
rnacentral:rRNA from 1 species